rnacentral:misc_RNA from 1 species
GAGAGCACAUAAUUGUUGUUACUAUUAUAGUAAGGGGCACAAGAAAAUAAAAUAACGAAAAGCAUCUAAGAUACUAUGCAAGGCCAAUAUCCACAUUGCAAAUGAGUUCUUCCCCACUGUCCACAGUAGAAUCGAGUUUGUAUUGCAUGUUCUACAUCGUAGUGUAUCCAACAAAAUCCAAACAUGUAGAAACAAUAGGGAAGGUGUAAGCAGAAACUAUUUUUUUUUUUGUUUUUUUUUCUAUUUUUUUUUU